AUGGUCACUCGGCCGGCACCAGCACAGACAGCUGGGAUGGAGAUGCUCCAGAGGCCCUGCUGUGCUGUGCCGUGCCGUGCUGUGCCGUGCCGUGCUGUGCUGUGCUCUACUGUGCCGUGCUGUGCCGUGCCGUGCUGUGCCGUGCCGUGCCGGAGCUGGUUUUGGGGAGUGGUUUUUCCCACAGUGCUCCCUGCUGUGCUGUGCUUCGGUUCUGCGCUGAAAACACUGCUGAGUACACAGGGAUGUAGCUGCAGCUCGGCAGUGCUCACACCGUCCAGGUCUUCCCUGCUCCUCAUGCUGCACGUGCACAGCUCCUGUCCUGCCAGGAGGGCACGGGGCCGGGACAGCGGGGAUGCUGCAGGUCACACAGUGCCGUGCUUGGGAACAGAACAGGGGGCCGUUCUUCCAGGUGUUGGUGCCGUUCGGGCACUGGUUGCUCAGCGCUCUGCGGUUGGUUUUGCACCACGAGCUUCUCUGGGGCUGUUUUUAUCACGGGGCGGAGUUUGCGCUCCUUACCAAACAUUUCCCCUUCCUGCUCAUCCCGAUGCCGGCACGGCAGCCCUCACGUUUCACAACUUGCACCGUUCCCGCCCCCCCCCCCCGUUUCCCGCAGGGCAGAUCCGACCCGCUGUGCGCGCGGUGCAGCAGCGCCCGAGCGGCCCCUUUAAGAGCAGCGGGACGGCGGAGCCCACGGGCGCAGCCGCGUCCGAGCGGCGCUUGCGCAGGCGCACAGCUGUUCCCCGUGACUUAUUCGGCGCUGCCCGCGGCGGAAGUCGAGUUCUCGGGCGGGUCGGGGCGUUGCGCGUGCGCAGUGCGCGGUACGGCCCGGCUGCCCGCCGUGCGCUUUGUGGCGCUGCCGGAAGCGGCGGCGGGGAGCGGAGCGGGGCGGCUCGGAGCGUUCGUCCCGGUUUGUCUCGUCCGGCCGCGGGCAGCGAUGGAGCCGGCCUGAGGGCGGGGCACGGCACGGCACGACACGGCACGACAUGCCCGCGGGCCUCUCGCCGCAGGUAA
rnacentral:lncRNA from 1 species